rnacentral:tRNA from 2 species
GCAUCCAUAGCUCAGUAGGAUAGAGCGUCCCCCUCCUAAGGGGAAGGCCAGGGGUUCGAUUCCCUUUGGGUGCACCA